CGAGUCGACCAGACAGUCGCUGCCGCUUGCGGUGGAGGAAAGUCCGGGCUCUACAGGGUAAGACGCCAGGUAACGCCUGGGAGGCGCGAGCCUACGGAAAGUGCAACAGAAAAUAUACCGCCUAAGCGCGCAAGCGCCGGUAAGGUUGAAAUGGUGCGGUAAGAGCGCACCGCGUCGCUGGCAACAGUCGACGGCUAGGUAAACCCCGUCCAGAGCAAAGCCAAAUAGAGGGGCUGUCGAUUUCGAUCGCAAGGUGUGACCCGCACUGCCCCUGGGUAGGCUGCUUGAGGCCUGCGGUGACGCAGGUCCCAGAUGAAUGACUGUCCACGACAGAACCCGGCUUAUCGGUCGACUCAUUUU
rnacentral:RNase_P_RNA from 1 species